GACGAACGCUGGCGGCGUGCUUAACACAUGCAAGUCGAACGGUAAGGCCCUUCGGGGUACACGAGUGGCGAACGGGUGAGUAACACGUGGGUGAUCUGCCCUGCACUUCGGGAUAAGCCUGGGAAACUGGGUCUAAUACCGGAUAUGACCACUGCCCGCAUGGGUGGUGGUGGAAAGCUUUUGCGGUGUGGGAUGGGCCCGCGGCCUCUCAGCUUGUUGGUGGGGUGAGGGCCUACCAAGGCGACGACGGGUAGCCGGCCUGAGAGGGUGACCGGCCACACUGGGACUGAGAUACGGCCCAGACUCCUACGGGAGGCAGCAGUGGGGAAUAUUGCACAAUGGGCGCAAGCCUGAUGCAGCGACGCCGCGUGAGGGAUGACGGCCUUCGGGUUGUAAACCUCUUUCAGCACCGACGAAGCGCAAGUGACGGUAGGUGCAGAAGAAGGACCGGCCAACUACGUGCCAGCCGCCGCGGUAA
rnacentral:rRNA from 1 species